AUUGAACGCUGGCGGCAUGCCUUACACAUGCAAGUCGAACGGCAGCACGGGUGCUUGCACCUGGUGGCGAGUGGCGAACGGGUGAGUAAUACAUCGGAACAUGUCCUGUAGUGGGGGAUAGCCCGGCGAAAGCCGGAUUAAUACCGCAUACGAUCUACGGAUGAAAGCGGGGGACCUUCGGGCCUCGCGCUAUAGGGUUGGCCGAUAGCUGAUUAGCUAGUUGGUGGGGUAAAGGCCUACCAAGGCGACGAUCAGUAGCUGGUCUGAGAGGACGACAAGCCACACUGGGACUGUGACACGGCCCCGACUCCUACGGGAGGCAGCGUUGGGGAAUUUUGGACAAUGGGCGCAAGCCUGAUCUAGCAAUGCCGCGUGUGUGAAGAAGGCCUUCGGGUUGUAAAGCACUUUUGUCCGGAAAGAAAUCCUUGGCUCUAAUACAGUCGGGGGAUGACGGUACCGGAAGAAUAAGCACCGGCUAACUACGUG
rnacentral:rRNA from 1 species